GACGAACGCUGGCGGCGUGCCUAAUACAUGCAAGUAGAACGCACAGUUUAUACCGUAGCUUGCUACACCAUAGACUGUGAGUUGCGAACGGGUGAGUAACGCGUAAGUAACCUGCCUGGUAGCGGGGGAUAACUAUUGGAAACGAUAGCUAAUACCGCAUAAUAUUAAUUAUUGCAUGAUAAUUAAUUGAAAGGUGCAAUUGCACCACUACCAGAUGGACCUGCGUUGUAUUAGCUAGUAGGUGAGGUAACGGCUCACCUAGGCGACGAUACAUAGCCGACCUGAGAGGGUGAUCGGCCACACUGGGACUGAGACACGGCCCAGACUCCUACGGGAGGCAGCAGUAGGGAAUCUUCGGCAAUGGACGAAAGGCUGACCGAGCAACGCCGCGUGGGUGAAGAAGGUUUUCGGAUCGUAAAGCUCUGUUGUAAGAGAAGAACGGGGGUGAGAGUGGAAAGUUCACACUGUGACGGUAUCUUACCAGAAAGGGACGGCUAACUACGUG
rnacentral:rRNA from 1 species